ACGUGCCCUUCUCUAAGGAAUAGCCACUGGAAACGGUGAGUAAUACCUUAUACGCCCUUCGGGGGAAAGAUUUAUCGGAGAAGGAUCGGCCCGCGUUAGAUUAGAUAGUUGGUGGGGUAACGGCCUACCAAGUCUACGAUCUAUAGCUGGUUUUAGAGGAUGAUCAGCAACACUGGGACUGAGACACGGCCCAGACUCCUACGGGAGGCAGCAGCGGGGAAUCUUGGACAAUGGGGGCAACCCUGAUCCAGCCAUGCCGCGUGAGUGAUGAAGGCCUUAGGGUCGUAUAGCUCUUUCGCCUGUGAUGAUAAUGACAGUAGCAGGUAAAGAAACCCCGGCUAACUCCGUGCCAGCAGCCGCGGUAAUACGGAGGGGGUUAGCGUUGUUCGGAAUUACUGGGCGUAAAGCGCGCGUAGGCGGACCAGAAAGUUGGGGGUGAAAUCCCGGGGCUCAACCCCGGAACUGCCUCCAAAACUCCUGGUCUUGAGUUCGAGAGAGGUGAGUGGAAUUCCGAGUGUAGAGGUGAAAUUCGUAGAUAUUCGGAGGAACA
rnacentral:rRNA from 1 species